CACGUAGGCACCAAGCGUUGUCCGGAUUUAUUGGGCGUAAAGAGCUCGUAGGCGGUUUGUCGCGUCUGCUGUGAAAACCCGAGGCUCAACCUCGGGCCUGCAGUGGGUACGGGCAGACUAGAGUGCGGUAGGGGAGAUUGGAAUUCCUGGUGUAGCGGUGGAAUGCGCAGAUAUCAGGAGGAACACCAAUGGCGAAGGCAGAUCUCUGGGCCGUAACUGACGCUGAGGAGCGAAAGCAUGGGGAGCGAACAGG
rnacentral:rRNA from 1 species